AAGAAGGCCUUCGGGUUGUAAACCUCUUUCAGGAGGGACGAAGCCACCAGGGUUAAUAGCCCAUGGGGUGACGGUACCUUCAGAAGAAGCCCCGGCUAACUACGUGC
rnacentral:rRNA from 1 species